AAAGGGAGAUGAUCAUAAAUUAAAGUAUUAGUUUAGGAGGCCUCCAAAUAUGCAUUAGGAGUAGGAGUAGUGUAGAGUAGAAAAUUCUCUCUUAGGGUUUUACUUCAAUUUCCAUUGUAGCAUUUUAUAGUCAAGUUUUCAUCUUGGAUUUU